AUUGAACGCUGGCGGCAUGCUUUACACAUGCAAGUCGAACGGCAGCGCGGGCUUCGGCCUGGCGGCGAGUGGCGAACGGGUGAGUAAUACAUCGGAACGUGCCCAGUAGUGGGGGAUAGCUCGGCGAAAGCCGGAUUAAUACCGCAUACGACCUGAGGGUGAAAGCGGGGGAUCUUCCGACCUCGCGCUAUUGGAGCGGCCGAUGGCAGAUUAGCUUGUUGGUGGGGUAAAGGCCUACCAAGGCGACGAUCUGUAGCUGGUCUGAGAGGACGACCAGCCACACUGGGACUGAGACACGGCCCAGACUCCUACGGGAGGCAGCAGUGGGGAAUUUUGGACAAUGGGCGCAAGCCUGAUCCAGCAAUGCCGCGUGUGUGAUGAAGGCCUUCGGGUUGUAAAGCACUUUUGGCGGGAACGAAAAGGACUGUGCCAAUACCACGGUUCGAUGACGGUACCCGAAGAAUA
rnacentral:rRNA from 1 species